rnacentral:sRNA from 1 species
UUGAAUUUUCAUUUUUCUUCUCCCUCCCAAUCCUGAUAAAAUGGCAGUAUGUACCCCUAAUGCCUCAAUGUCUUCUAAUUAUCGCCUCAUUUUGAACUCUUUUUUAUCAUUCAAAGGUUAAACUACUGCACAAAGAGCUGGAGGCUCUGAAGGAAGCCGGGGCAAAGGCUGCAGAGAGUCUGCAGAGGGCAGAGGCCACCAACGCCGAGCUGGAGAGGAAGCUCCAGAGCCGAGCCGGGGAGCUCCGGGACCUGGAGGCCAUGAGCUGCGCCCGGUGCGCGAGUCCUUCGUCUCCCGAGGCGUGCUCUGUGGCAGCCUCGCAGGCCAGGACCGGAGUCUGGGGGAUUCUACCUUUUCUGCUCAUUCCAGGCUGGUCUUUGCUUUCAUCUCACUUGCUCCUUCCAUAAAUAUUUGUUUCUUUUCAGGGUAAAGGACUUAGAGGAUAAACUUCACUCUGUGCAGCUAACCAGGAAGAAGGAAGAGGAAACAUUUAAGAGGAAGCAUGAGGAGCUCGACCGUCUGGCCAGGGAGAAGGAUGCGGUGCUGGUGGCGGUGAAGGGAGCCCACGUGGACCAGCUGCAGGAGCUGCAGGCCAGGGUUCUGGAGCUGCAGGCCCACUGCGAGACCCUCGAGGCGCAGCUCCGCAGGGCAGAGUGGAGACAGGCUGACACCGCUAAGGAGAAGGACGCUGCCAUU